AGAUAACGUCAAGUACAUUGGACAAGUUACCGGGUAACCUAUCAUCUACCAACCUUGACAAGUAACUGCAUGUGGAUAAAUAGGUUAUGUGAUUGCGAGUUUGCAAAGGAAAACAUUCAAGUUUUAAAAUUGAACACUGUAAACAAUUCUAACAGAAAUUGAGUGGAUUAUCCUAGAAUAAUAGAACUUUACAAUGAAGAAAACAAAGCUAUAGCAAAGAGACGGUAUUUACUGCCAAAGUCUUAAUUAAUUUGUUAAAACAAUAAGUUAAAAAACAAAUCAUGAGUACAGAAGAACAUCAAAAUGGCAAUGUAACUGAAAAUGAUGAAACCGAAAAUCUUUUACUUGAACUGGCAAAAGCAAAUGCAGAAGGUAUAUCGAAUGAAGACAUAAAAAAACAUAUGCCUGACAUACCACUUACAGAAAUUACAGUAAUCAUUAAUAAAUGUUUGAGAAAUGGAACUUUCGAGUUGUUUAAAACUAAAGAUAAUCUUCUUUACAAAUACAAGGAUCCAACAAAAAAAACAACUGUGAAAGGAGCAGAUAGUGAAGAAAAAGUAGUGUAUAAAAUAAUAGAAGAAGCAGGAAAUAAAGGGAUUUGGAUAAGGGAUAUUAGAUAUUCUUCUAAUUUAAAUAUGACCCAAUUGAAUAAAGUAUUAAAAAGUUUAGAAACAAAAAAACUUAUAAAGUCUGUAAAAUCUGUAUCGGCUAGCAAAAAGAAAGUUUAUAUGUUAUAUGAUUUGGAACCAGAUAGUACUGUAACAGGUGGCGCCUGGUAUCAAGAUCAAGACUUUGAAUCUGAAUUUGUAGAUGUUCUAAGCCAACAGUGUCAUAGAUUUUUAGUUGAAAAAUUGGAAGAAUCUACUAAAACAUCUGAAGGUCCUCUUUUAAUAAGGAAUCGUAGUUAUGCUACCGCAAGUGAUGUUCAUAAAUUCAUUUCAGAAUUGGGAAUUAGUAAAAUUUCACUUUCUAUAGAUGACAUAGAAAGCAUUUUGUAUACUGUAGUUUUAGAUAACAAUGCUGAAAGAAUUGUAGCAGCAAACGGUUCUUAUCUAUACAAAGCUACUAAUAGGUUCUUAAAUUCUCCUGGUAUUGUCAAAACUACAUGUGGCGUGUGUCCAGUUGCUCAUAGAUGUGCUGAUACAGGUCUAAUUAAUCCUAAAGCUUGUACUUAUCUCACAGAUUGGUUGGAUCAAUAAAUAUUCAACAUUUUUUUGUCUUAAUUAAUUAACACUGAUUUGGCAAGAUUAACCAUAAAUUUAUGCAUCCAAAGGAUUCAAUUUAAAAUGGGACUGGGGACGUCACAUAAAUAUGCACAUUUUGAAGACCUUUUCAGGUCCUCUUUUAAUAAAUGUUUACAUUCCUUCCUGUCUCCUAAUCAUUUCAUCUACGAUGUUUUCCUUUUUAAUAACCUUUAUUUGGUUUAUCAAUUUUUUGUCUAUACUUUUUGGUGGGGUAUUUUAAAUACUCCAGAGAAUACGUCUUCGCUUGUAGUAAAGGAGUGGAGGGUAACAAGACAGCACUGUUGUAGGUUUUCCUUAUGGUUUCUGAAAUAGUGCGACUAACUUGGAUCCAGUUAGUUAGAACUGAAAUAUAGAAUACACAGAAUGGGUAAUAGGUAUCCCGAACAGUGGAAGAAAUGGUUGGAAGAGAUUGGAGUGGAGGAAGAUGAGGUCUAUGCAGAGUCUGAUUAAAAUAGUGAACAUGAUACUGAAACAGAAUAAAUAGCCACAGAUGAAGAAAGUUCUACUGAUUAAUCAGAAUCUGCAAUUUAUAUUUUAUGGGUAAAAGUGAGGUGACAGUUGAAUAAAAUUCCAUCUCUAUGGUUAAGAACCAGACCUCCUAACUUGGUGUUAAAAAUACAAGGGCCAUAUGUAGAUGCUAGGAAAAUGAAAAUUUGCAUCAACAUUGAAACCUGACUUUAUCAUAGACUACAAUCAUAGCAAGUUUGGAGUGGAUGUAGUCGACAAAAUGUGUACGUCAUACGGUCAAUAAACAGUAGAUGUUGACCCUUGACAGUAUUUCUCGAUAUUCCCAAUGUUGCAAGUAUAAAUGCCCCGAAUCUCUAUAUGGUGAUUAAUAUCGAGGAUGUUGUAGAACAUUUCUAAUGUCCUAGGACCCAAACAGACAGACGAUUUUAUUCACAUUGCCUAAAAGAAAAGUUUAAAUUUAAAACCAUCAAUGUUAAAUGAAGAAACCGCAGACAAAAAAUCUAAGACGGAAAUUGGAAGAUGUCACCUUUGUCCACGAAGCCUUGAUAAAAAAACAACAGUUACCUGCGCCAAAUAUAAUAAAUUGUCCUUCAAAACUCAUUAAGUAGUAUUAUGUAGCAGUUUAUGUCGAUGGAUACUGGGAACUUGUAUUUAUAAUUAUAAUUUGAUGUAUGUUGAAAUAAAACGAAUGGUUGUAAUUUUAUAGUUUAUAUUUGCAUAACAACCAAAUUAUAACAAUUACAAAAACCAGAAAAAUAAAUAACGAAAAUAUUUAGUUAGUUACA